AUGGCUUUGGAAUUGGAAUGAUGGUGACCCAAACCCUCACCAGAGUAGCAAUUCGGAGGGCAAGUCUGGUGCCAGCAGCCGCGGUAAUUACAGCUCCAAUAGCGUAUAUUAAACUUGUUGCAGUUAAAAAGCUCGUAGUUGUAUUUUUGCGUUAGCGGUUUGACCAUUUGGUUGGUUAUUUCGUUUUCGCUUUUGGGAAUUUCCCUUUUUACUUUGAGAAAAUUAGAGUGUUUCAAGCAGACUUUUGUCUUGAAUACUUCAGCAUGGAAUAAUAGAGUAGGACUUUGGUUCUAUUUUGUUGGUUAUUGAACCUUAGUAAUGGUUAAUAGGAACGGUUGGGGCUCGNGNUA
rnacentral:rRNA from 1 species